GACAAAUUCUACUCUGAUUCUAAAUCCAGAAUCUCCGAUAUCCAACAAAGGCCACCAUCAUAUGAUCUCCUUCAUUUUGAGAAGUAUCCUUCAAAUCGUCCUGAUCUUGAAGCCAUUUGGAAGUCAGUAAUGUCUUCUUAUUUGGUGCCACUGAGUACUUUCAUCCGUUCUUGAAGAUUGGUGGAAUCUUUAUUCAAGCAUAAGAAAAAAUCAAUUUGGCUCACUGAUGGACCUCCGGUAACCAAAUGGUUUGUGGUUUGUCAGAACCAAGCACAAGGGAAAAGGCAAGACUGGACAGGUGGCAAAUUCGCACAACCAACUGGGGACAGAUGGCAGCAAGGAAAGAGUGAGGCCAUUGGUUAUGAGGCUUGCACAAUGAAAGGGUGACAAGUGUGAGGAAUUGGUUAUGAAUUUGUUAGGAGUCAGCUGGUUGGCACAACGAGAAAACGACGGGUGUCUGGAUUUGUUGCAAAAGGAAUCUGGAAGCAAAUAUAAAAGGGGAACAUUAGGCGUGAUGGAGCAUGGAGAAUUAGUGAAGUGAAUUAGGAGGAGCUGACCCUCGAAGUUCAGCAGUGCUUAGAGUCCAUUUCCAUUUCUGUUUUAUUUCCAAGUUUAGCAUUUGUAAUCAAGUGUUGUAAAACACAUUUCUAUUCUAUUUUGUUAUCUCACAUCGAGUGUUACCAACUUUUCUCAAUUAAUUCCAGUAUUAUUUAUUUAUGUCAGGACAUCCCAAGAUUACGCAAUCUUCUAAUGUUGGAGCUACAGUUCUUGAUGAACAGAAUUCUUCAGAGGUGAAAAAUAAAAGUCUUGAUGGGCUAUAUGUUCCUCAAAGUUUUUCUGAAAAGGCUGCUAGAAAAACUUAAUGAUCUGAGCUUAGAAAAGAUAUCUUUAGAUUUAGUUGAAGUGCCAAUGAAAUUCAUCCAUUGGGAGCCUUCCACAUAAUGUGAAAAAUGAGAAAGCAGUUGCUCCUCCUGGUGUCUGGACGUCUGAAGGUCAUGACCAGACUUAUAAUGCUGGAACUGCAGUUCGACAAUAUUCCUCGGAGGUGAACAAUGAAUUGAUAGAUGGCCAUUAUUUUCCCUUGAAGUUUGUAAAAGAGCAUUAAGGCAACUCAUGAUGUGAUCUUAAAAAAGUUAUCUUCAAAUUUGGUGGAAAGCUCCAAUCAGAAGUGAUAAGUUCUCUGGCUCAGCCACACAUUUACUAGUUGCUUAGCCGGGCCUAAUCAUGGAGCAUACACCUUGUACAAAUCAGAAAGAGACCAGCAUGAGAUAUUGUUGAUGUCAAAAGAUCACCGCAUUUAAUGAGUAAACUUUUCUUUUUUGAAGGAUAUAGAUUGGAUAAAUUUAGUUUAUGGACUUGAGAACAUUGUUUUAAAACCCGGACCGAAGGGCAACUUGCUUCAUUGCCCGGGUCAUGGGUCAACCGGUUAGACCGGCCGGUUGGACCAGUGAUGUUAACAUAGGCAAAACAAAAUAUCUUUUUUUUUUUUUUUUUUUUUGAAAAUUUCAGAAUACCAGCUUAAUUACUACCCAAUUCAAACUCAAUAACAAUCCCGAUUUAAUUGCAAUCCAAAGUCCCCAAACAUCAUCCAUUACAAAUUAAGUCUCCAAACAUCAUCCAUUACAAAAUAAAUGAUAAAAUACAUAAUAAUUAAUAACAAAACUGCAAGUGCUUUUUACAUACAAAUUCAGUGAACAAAUUAUCCAUCAAAGCAAUAGAUUCAUAAAAAAAAAAGAGUGGAAAUAUCUUUACAAAAGAGAGAGGUGUUGUCUUCAUUGAUUUUGAGCAAGAGAAGUGUUGUCGUCGUCGUCGAUUCUAGUGAAGGAGGGAGGCGUCGUCGUGCAAGGAGAAGGGAGGUGCGUCGUCGCUGAAAUCCAACGAGUGAGAUGUUGCCUUCGUCGAGCAAGGGAAAAGGGAGGAGAAGGGAGGUGUAUCGCUACCGAAAUCUAGCGAGGGAGGUGCUGCUGUCGUCGAGCAAGGGAGAAGGGAGGUGCGUCGUCACCGAAAUCUAGUGAGGGAGGUGUUGCUGUCGUCGAGCAAGGGAGAAAGGAAGUGCGUUAUCGUCGAAAUUCAGUGAGGGAGGUGUUGCUGUCGUCGAGCAAGGGUCCAAGGGAGAGUGGAGUUGAGAGAUUGAAUUGAGACUGAGUACAGUUAUUUGAGAAGAGAGUUGCGAUUUUGGAGAGUUGAGAGAUUGAAAAGAGUGGAGAAGUGAAGUCGCAUGAAAAAUAAAUCAGAUUUAGGGUUUUUUUCAUUUUAAACAUUGACCUGGUUUACCAAGCGGGUCGCACUGUUCAUCCGGUUUGAUAAUGGGUUUAAACGGUUUUUAAGUAAUUGCCGGUUUUAUAUUAGUUCGGA